rnacentral:rRNA from 1 species
GAUGAACGCUGGCGGCGUGCCUAAUACAUGCAAGUCGAGCGAACAGACGAGGAGCUUGCUCCUCUGACGUUAGCGGCGGACGGGUGAGUAACACGUGGAUAACCUACCUAUAAGACUGGGAUAACUUCGGGAAACCGGAGCUAAUACCGGAUAAUAUAUUGAACCGCAUGGUUCAAUAGUGAAAGACGGUUUUGCUGUCACUUAUAGAUGGAUCCGCGCCGCAUUAGCUAGUUGGUAAGGUAACGGCUUACCAGGGCGACGAUGCGUAGCCGACCUGAGAGGGUGAUCGGCCACACUGGAACUGAGACACGGUCCAGACUCCUACGGGAGGCAGCAGUAGGGAAUCUUCCGCAAUGGGCGAAAGCUUGACGGAGCAACGCCGCGUGAGUGAUGAAGGUCUUCGGAUCGUAAAACUCUGUUAUUAGGGAAGAACAAAUGUGUAAGUAACUAUGCACGUCUUGACGGUACCUAAUCAGAAAGCCACGGCUAACUACGUG